rnacentral:tRNA from 1 species
GGCGGCGUAGCCAAGUGGUAAGGCAGCGCUCUGCAAAAGCGUUAUUCAUCGGUUCAAAUCCGGUCGCCGCCU